UAUGAAGAACGUAGCGAAAUGCGAUAAGUAAUGUGAAUUGCAGAAUUCAGUGAAUCAUCGAAUCUUUGAACGCAUCUUGCGCUCCUUGGUAUUCUGAGGAGCAUGCCUGUUUGAGUGUCAUUAAAUUCUCAACUACACUGACUUUGAAUUGGUGUGGCUUGGAUUUGGGGGGAAAAUUGUAGUGGGCUUUUUGUAUAGUCUGCUCCCCUGAAAUUGAUUAGCGGUACCUUUGUGGAACUGUCUACAGGUGUGAUAAUUAUCUACAUCUUAGACAUCUGCUGGAAUGCUGCUUUCUAAACCUUACUUGUAUUGACAAUCUUGACCUCAAAUCAGGUAGGACUACCCGCUGAACUUAAGCAUAUCAAUAAGCGGAGGA
rnacentral:misc_RNA from 1 species